UAUUUCAUCUAGCAAAACAUCACAUACCUCAUGAGUGCCAUACUUAUCACUUGCCACACCUUUAGCAAAGUGAUGUGAACAUGCAAUCUGAUUAUCGCUUGUUUCUAUGUGGAUUCCGGCCAUGAUUAGAACAAAACAAGAGACAUACGCAAUAAUCUUUAUGCUCCUAUCAACUACAAGGAUGUGGUUGUAGUAAUUAUUUCACUCUCACCCUAUGCAAAUAAGUUCUCACAAGUUCUUACCAAGCGAAAUAGGAGGUGGCAGGAACCAACAAGUCAGAAAACCUAGAAAAUGGUGUAUCAACGCUGCAGCAACAACACUUGUCAAGUUGUAGUCUGAUAUGUGGAGUUAUAGGAUGGCUCUAUAUAUUGCACAAGGAAGUACUAGCACACAUUAGUCACAAAAGCAUGUUGAGAAAUCAUUCAACGGUGGCACUGUGCUGGUCCUAGGCUAGACCGUGCUAGAGACGCGAGCCUGGGCACAGAUGAAGUCACAAUAUCGCAAGAAUAAUAAGAACAACAAGAGAUAACUUCCCUUCUUUUCCUCUUCCUUUCUUUCCUUUCCUUUUUUUUCUUUUCUUUCCUUUUUCUUUUCUUUUUUUUCUGAUAUUUUUUUGUUUCUUUCUGUUUUUUUCCUACUUUGCUCAACUAAAAUAAAUCUGAAUCUUGAUGGAUUAGAUUUCAAAAAACACACAAUGUCUUUAGUGUAACAAAAAUACAACUAGCAGAUUAUGAUGGUGAUAUGAUACUGCAGUAACACUGAUUGCAACGGGGAUGAGAAAAAUAGAAUGUGGAAGAAGAGUGGAGGAGAGGCAAAAGGAUGCGCAAGAAGUGGACAAGGAUGCAAUGUUCUAAAAUUAGAUGCCCAAGAGUGGAAUGAAUCUAGUGGUUGCAAUAGGAUGUUGAUUAAAAAUAGGAUGCUGAUUAUAGAAUGUGCAAGAGCGCUUACAAUAGGAUGUAUGAAUGGAAGAAAGGAACAUGCAGGUGGCAGUCAGUAAGAAUAGGUUGCUCACGGGUGGAAGUGAAAACGUGCAUGCAAUGGCCUAAAAAUAUAGGGUGCGCAUGAGUGAAAAGAGUGUGGUGGAUGGAGUUUACACGGUGCCCAAGUAGGGUGGUGAUGGUAGUUCAGAUAUAUAUAGUGUAGUCCAAAUGUAUAUGAUAAUAGUGAUUGCAGCGGAGAUUAUACGAUGGGCAAUGACUAAAACGUGACAAAAACUCGAAACUCUAAAAGUUUAAACCUAAGACCAGCAACUCGACUCAACCGAUGUAAAUCAAACACAACAAGCCUGAACUUAGUAGUACUAGUAAAAGGCUCAAAGGGUCUAUAGGAUGAUAGAAAUGAAAGUACUAUUUUUCUUGGCUUUUUCUAGGCAAUAGGAAAAAAAUGCAAACUCAAUUCUCUCAACGAUGAAACCUUGAUCUGAUGCCACAUAAUAAGAACGAGGGUGUCCCGAUCUUUUGGUGGAGAUGGAUAACUUUGAUCUCUCUGGAGCGACGUUCACGAUCCGACUACAACCGUCCAAGGACGCUGCGCCUUAGCGAUCGAUACACCAAUUCCAGCGGUUGAUCACGAUCUUGUUGAUCACAACCAACCAAACCACUAGGGUAAUUCCUGCACGCAAUUGAAGAACAUGCAAGAACAGAUAGAACAGGCACUCAAUUGCCAAAGAAUACAAGAAGGAUCCGAUAUGAAUCACGAUAACAAUAUGGGGUUUUGAAGCAAGUAGAACAGAUGGUCUAGUCGACACAUGCGUCUACAAGGAAGUAGCAAUGGCUAAACUUACAACAAAACAAAACCCGCCAAGUGUCUCUAGCUGUAGAAGCCCUUAUGUACAAGAGAGAGCAACCAGAGUGUGCGGUGCUAAUCCCUCGACUCACUAAAAACAAAAGAAAACAAUAAUAUCCAUAUCAUGCUUGCAUGGAGUUCCUUAUUGAAUGAAGCUGUCCACAGAAAGGUCUCUGGAGUAAUUCGACGAUUGCGGCCGCCUCAUUAUAGAUAUGGACAUGGGACUGGAUCCAUGUGAAAAUAGACUUCAUAAGCUUUCCACCGUGUAUUUGAACAUCAAAAUCGGUCACCGUAUGUAGUCUUGGUGGCCACCACAAUUUGAGACGCUUCUGCAGUCCAAAUUUAGCCCAUCGCGAAUAUGCUUCCUUGCGGUUCCUCCUCAUUAUUCUAGAUAGUUGAGUUAUCAUGCAUAUGAAUCUGAGGCGUGGAUGUAUUGAUGGUGCUCAUGUCCUCAUCAUCCUCCCCUUCUUGCAUUUGAGUCGUCCUUGACUCAAGCUUGUCCUCUUCUAUUGAUGGUACUCAUGUCCUCAUCAUCCUCCCCUUCUUGCAUUUGAGUCGUCCUCGACUCAAGCUUGUCCUCUUCUCCCAAGUAGGGCAUAAUGGUCCCCAAUCAACUUCAUUCACCAUCCAUACUUUCAAUAUGCAAUCAAAUAUUCUCCUGAUCUAUGUAAGUAUUACGGAGCAAGUGAUGUCCUCAUCAUUCUCCCCUUCUUGACAGCAAACCGUCCUCGGUUUAAUCAUUGGUGGAGCAUGUGUUGUCAGAAUUGAUGAACCUUGCUCUCCUGCUUGAUACUUGCCCUGUUCCAUCAUAAGAAAACUAGGCAAACCCGCCAUGACAUGGUUAUGGUUAUUGCACACUUCUAGUUGGUCAUAUUGUUUCACAAUAAAAGGAGAUUUUAUGUUUGAAUAAAUGUAAAUUCGGUGUACCAUAUACUCCUUUGCAUAAUUAUAUUUGCCAAUUGCAUGAAAACUAACAUUGGAAGAGGAUGACAAUUCAAAUCUAGAAAACUGAUUAUUCUCUAAAUAGCUAAGCUCACAAAGAUCAUCGAAUUCAAUUUACCCCAUUAUAUGUAAAGAUGACAACAAUUGAGCUUCUUCAUUUUCAUUUACAAUAUUAAUAACAUGCUUGAAUUCGACACUCAUUGAUUCAGAAUUCUUUUCUUUGUAUACUAGUUGUGGCAUGGAUAUAGGUGAUGCACUAUUGCCCAACUCUUCUUUGUCACUAGGAACAUCAGGAAUAUCGAAGUUUGACAAAGGAAAAUUAGUAAUUGGUUCCAUAAUUGUUUUCUCUAGGUUAGCAGGAUUAGUGAAAUGGUGUGGGUGCAGCUAGAUUUACGCUCUCUUUAAAUGACUAAUCUAGUAUCUCAAGUUGCACGCUUUCCAUGUGUAUGUUGUCUUCUUGUUGCUGCAAAUUAUUAGUAAUAGGAGAGACACGUACUUCUAUAAUACUUGCGAGAUCCCUUUCUAACUCACAAGCAAGAUCAAACAAUUCAUCAAAGGUGUUAUAAUACUUAUCAACAAGAAUGUUCUGAAUUUCUACAUUAAGACCUUGCAGAAAUCUAUGUUCCAAAAGUUCAUCAGUUUCUUCUAAUCCACAUCGCAGCACACACAAUUUUAGUUUAUCCAAAUAUUCCGCUACGGUUUUGUUUUCUUGCUUUAUAUAUUGUAGUUUUUCAAACAAAAUUUCAGAAUAGUACUCAGGGACAAAAACAUCUCUAAAAUGUCUUUUCACAUCUUUCCAUGUUUGAGGAGCUUUAUGAAAUCUACAAAGGUAUUUCCAUGAACUUAAAGCAUACUCAGUAAGAACACUGGAAGCAACUCUAAUCUUUUGGCUUUCAGAUAGAUUAUGCUUUUUAAAUUCAUUGUCUACAUUUAGCUCCAAUUUAAUAUAUGCAUGUGGAUCACAAUUUCCUUCAAAAUAAGGUAAUGCAGAUUUUAUUUCAUCUAGCAAAACAUCACAUACCUCAUGAGUGCCAUACUUAUCACUUGCCACACCUUUAGCAAAGUGAUGUGAACAUGCAAUCUGAUUUUCGCUUGUUUCUAUGUGGAUUCCGGCCAUGAUUAGAACAAAACAAGAGACAUACGCAAUAAUCUUUAUGCUCCUAUCAACUACAAGGAUGUGGUUGUUGUAAUUAUUUCACUCUCACCCUGUGCAAACAAGUUCUCACAAGUUCUUACCAAGUGAAACAGGAGGUGGCAGGAACCAACAAGUCAGAAAACCUAGAAAAUGGUGUAUCAACGCUGCAGCAACAACACUUGUCAAGUUGUAGUCUGAUAUGUGGAGUUAUAGGAUGGCUCUAUAUAUUGCACAAGGAAGUACUAGCACCACAUUAGUCACAAAAGCAUGUUGAGAAAUCAUUCAACGGUGGCACUGUGCUGGUCCUAGGCUAGACCAUGCUAGUGACGCGAGCCUGAGCACAGAUGAAGUCACAAUAUCGCAAGAAUAAUAAGAACAACAAGAGAUAACUUCCCUUCUUUUCCUCUUCCUUUCUUUUCUUUCCUUUUUUUCUUAUCUUUCCUUUUUCUUUUAUUUUUUUCUGAUAUUUUUUUGUUUCUUUCUGUUUUUUUCCUACUUUGCUCAACUAAAAUAAAUCUGAAUCUUGAUGGAUUAGAUUUCAGAAAACACACAAUGUCUUUAGUGUAACAAAAAUACAACUAGCAGAUUAUGAUGGUGAUAUGAUGUUGCAGUAACACUGAUUGCAACGGGGAUGAGAAAAAUAGAAUGUGAAAGAAGAGUGGAGGAGAGGCAAAAGGAUGCGCAUGAAGUGGACAAGGAUGCAAUGUUCUAAAAUUAGAUGCCCAAGAGUGGAAUGAAUCUAGUGGUUGCAAUAGGAUGCUGAUUAUAGAAUGUGCAAGAGCACUUACAAUAGGAUGUAUGAAUGGAAGAAAGGAACAUGCAGGUGGUAGUGAGUAAGAAUAGGUUGCUCACGGGUGGAAGUGAAAACGUGCAUGCAAUGGCCUAAAAAUAUAGCGUGCGCAUGAGUGAAAAGAGAGUGGUGGAUGGUGUUUACACGGUGCCCAAGUAGGGUGGUGAUGGUAGUUCAGAUAUAUUUAGUGUAGUCCAAAUGUAUAUGGUAAUAGUGAUUGCAGCGGAGAUUAUACGAUGGGCAAUGACUAAAACGUGACAAAAACUCAAAACUCUAAAAGUCUAAACCUAAGACCAGCAACUCGACUCAACCGAUGUAAAUCAAACACAACAAGCCUGAACUAAGUAGUACUAGUAAAAGGCUCAAAGGGUCUAUAGGAUGAUAGAAAUGAAAGUACUAUUUUUCUUGGCUUUUUCUAGGCAAUAGGGAAAAAAUGCAAACUAAAUUCUCUCACCGAUGAAACCUUGAUCUGAUGCCACAUAAUAAGAAUGAGGGUGUCCCGAUCUUUCGGUGGAGAUGGAUAACUUCGAUCUCUCUGGAGCGACGUUCACGAUCCGACUACAACCAUCCAAGGACGCUGCGCCUUAGCGAUCGAUACACCAAUUCCAGCGGUUGAUCACAAUCUUGUUGAUCACAACCAACCAAACCACUAGGGUAAUUCCUGCACGCAAUCGAAGAACAUGCAAGAACAGAUAGAACAGGCACUCAAUUGCCAAAUAAUACAAGAAGGAUCUGAUAUGAAUCACAAUAACAAUAUGGGGUUUUGAAUCAAGUAGAACGGAUGGUCUAGUCGACACAUGCGUCUACAAGGAAGUAGCAAUGGCUAAACUUACAACAAAACAAAACCCGCCUUGUGUCUCUAGCUGUAGAAGCCUUUAUGUACAAGAGAGAGCAACCAGAGUGUGCGGUGCUAAUCCCUCGACUCACUAAAAACAAAAGAAAACAAUAAUAAGUAACUCAACGAUUGCGGCCGCCUCAUUAUAGAUAUGGUCUUGGGACUGGAUCCAUGUGAAAAUAGACUUCAUAAGCUUUCCACCGUGUAUUUGAACAUCAAAAUUGGUCACCGUAUGUAGUCUUGGUGGCCACCACAAUUUGAGACCCUUCUGCAGUCCAAAUUUAGCCCAUCGCAAAUAUGCUUCCUUGCGGUUCCUCCUCAUUAUUCUAGAUAGUUGAGUUAUCAUGCAUAUGAAUCUGAGGCGUGGAGGUAUUGAUGGUGCUCAUGUCCUCAUCAUCCUCCUCUUCUUGCAUUUGAGUCGUCCUUGACUCAAGCUUGUCCUCUUCUAUUGAUGGUACUCAUGUCCUCAUCAGUACUCCUAGGUGAAGAGGCUCAAGUGGAAGCUCGGUUCGGUCUGUUUGAAGAUAGUGCUAACUUGAUGCAAGAUAGUUGCACGGUUUGCAUGGAACGUAUCAUAUGCUUGGAAAUCAAUUUGGAUGCACCUGAUGGAACUCCUAGAUGUCGU
rnacentral:lncRNA from 1 species